rnacentral:rRNA from 1 species
GACUCCGUCGGCUACGAGGACGACGCUGGCGGCGUGCCUAACACAUGCAAGUCGAGCGAGUGAAUUUCCUUCGGGAGUGAAGCUAGCGGCGACGGGUGAGUAACACGUGGGCAACCUGCCUCAUAGAGGGGAAUAGCCUUUCGAAAGGAAGAUUAAUACCGCAUAAGAUUGUAGCUUCGCAUGAAGUAGCAAUUAAAGGAGCAAUCCGCUAUGAGAUGGGCCCGCGUCCGAUUAGUUAGUUGGCGGGGUAACGGCCCACCAAGACCGCGAUCGGUAGCCGACCUGAGAGGGUGACCGGCCACAUUGGGACUGAGACACGGCCCAGACUCCUACGGGAGGCAGCAGUGGGGAAUAUUGCACAAUGGAGGAAACUCUGAUGCAGCGACGCCGCGUGAGCGAAGAAGUAUUUCGGUAUGUAAAGCUCUGUCAGCAGGGAAGAUAAUGACGGUACCUGACCAAGAAGCCCCGGCUAACUACGUG